rnacentral:tRNA from 4 species
GGAGAGAUGGCUGAGUGGUUGAUAGCUCCGGUCUUGAAAACCGGUAUAGUUUGAAAGAACUAUCGAGGGUUCGAAUCCCCCUCUCUCCU